rnacentral:lncRNA from 1 species
GUUGUCAUCGUUGGGGCCGAUUUUGGGUUCUUCAUCUUUAUCGGGGCCAGUUUUGGGUUCGUCAUCUUCGUUGGGGUCAACGUUGGGUUCGUCAUCAUCAUCGUUGGGUCCAAUUUUGGGUUCUUCGUCUUCGUUGGGGUCAACGUUGGGUUCGUCAGCGUCGUUGGGUCCAAUUUUGGGUUCUUCAUCUUCGUUGGGUCCAAUUUUGGGUGCUUCGUCUUCAUCGGGGCCGAUUUUGGGUUCUUCGUCUUCGUUGGGGUCAACGUUGGGUUCUGCACAAUCAUUGAGUCCAAUUUUGGGUUCUUCGUCUUCAUUGGAUCCAACGUUGGGUUCGUCGUCUUCGUUGGGUCCAGUUUUGGGUUCUUCAUCCUCGUUGGGUCCAACGUUGGGUUCUUCGUCUUCAAAGAGGUCAAUGGGGCCGACGUUGGGUUCUUCAUCAACGUCAAGGUCAACGGGGUCAACGUUGGGUCCAACAUUGGGUUCAACACCAUCGAUGGGGUCAACGUUGGGUUCUUCAUCCAACUUGGCCCCACCAUUGGGUUCCUCAUUGGGUUCUCCUUCAACGUUGGGUUCAACGCCGUCAUUGGGUUCUUCCUCAACGUUGGGUUCUUCGUCAAAGUUGGGUCCAACAUUGGGUUCUUCAUCAACGUUGGGUUCAACGCCGCCGUUGGGUUCAACGUUGGGUCCAACAUUGGGUUCCUCUUCAGCCAUGGGUUCUUCUCCAACGUUGGGC